GUGCAGGCGGUAGCUACACAUGCAAGUCGAACGGCAGCACAGGAGAGCUUGCUCUCUGGGUGGCGAGUGGCGGACGGGUGAGGAAUACAUCGGAAUCUACCUUUUCGUGGGGGAUAACGUAGGGAAACUUACGCUAAUACCGCAUACGACCUACGGGUGAAAGUGGGGGACCGCAAGGCCUCACGCGAUUAGAUGAGCCGAUGUCCGAUUAGCUAGUUGGCGGGGUAAUGGCCCACCAAGGCGACGAUCGGUAGCUGGUCUGAGAGGAUGAUCAGCCACACUGGAACUGAGACACGGUCCAGACUCCUACGGGAGGCAGCAGUGGGGAAUAUUGGACAAUGGGCGCAAGCCUGAUCCAGCCAUACCGCGUGGGUGAAGAAGGCCUUCGGGUUGUAAAGCCCUUUUGUUGGGAAAGAAAUCCUGUCGAUUAAUACUCGGUGGGGAUGACGGUACCCAAAGAAUAAGCACCGGCUAACUUCGUGCCAGCAGCCGCGGUAAUACGAAGGGUGCAAGCGUUACUCGGAAUUACUGGGCGUAAAGCGUGCGUAGGUGGUGGUUUAAGUCUGCUGUGAAAGCCCUGGGCUCAACCUGGGAAUUGCAGUGGAUACUGGAUCACUAGAGUGUGGUAGAGGGAUGCGGAAUUUCUGGUGUAGCAGUGAAAUGCGUAGAGAUCAGAAGGAACAUCCGUGGCGAAGGCGGC
rnacentral:rRNA from 1 species